UAGAAAGUUUGGCAGUUCACACUCGUUUAUGUUGACGUUGUGUUUGUGUUUGCUUUUAUCUUCAGUUGAAUGAAGUAUUUGUGUUCGCAGCUAGGUAUUUUACAUUUUUCUCCGUUCAAGGGAGUGAAAAUUCAAGCAGCAAAAGAAUAUGCUGAUGCUGACAAGAAAUCUGAUAGAUCAAACCUAAACUGUUAGCAAAGUCGUCAAUAAAGACACAGAGACUGUUAGUAACUCAUCCAAACCUACUGAUCAGAAUGUUUUUUCGUUGUCAGCAGAAUCUAUCAAGCGUCAGGUUAAUUCGAAAUGAACAUGGAUGUGUUGGAUGUGGCUUAAUAUAGGACUGGUUUUGAUGAUUUUUAUCUGCGAUGUACCACAACUGUUCAUGAUGGCCUCAUCGGGAACCUCUUGGAAUCAAGCUUCAAGUGUGGUAAUACCUUUUUUAAAACUUUUGUUUUAUUUCUUUUGAGUCCCCUGUUUUAUGUUGUAAAACAAAAACUAGAAAAGAGUAAAUAUAUUUUUUGAAAUUUCA